ACUAAUGCUGUCCCAUGAGUUCUGCAAUAUUUUUGCAAGUCAACACAAGGACCUUAUUAAAACCAACAUGCAAUGUAAGACAGAGUAAAGUGAAGGCAUCAUGGGACAACUUGGAAGGAGGCAAGAUAGAAGUUUCCAACUAGGUCAGUGAUAAAGUGAAAGGGGCCCUAGUAGGCUGAGGGGCAAUAAACAAAUGGCAGAAAGAAAGGAAAAGAAAGGAAAGAAAGAGCCAGCCAGCAAACCUGGAUGUGCCCAUGAACUAUGUAUUUGCCACAAGGUGGACUCCGAAGAAGAAGAUAAAGGGACCUCAAGCAGAAACAGAUUAGAUGACAAAUGGCAAAGGACCCUCAGCUUAAAGAGACAGGGAUGGGGAACCACACCCAUUUCAGCUACUGUCCCAUAUGAGACUCAGAUCCACAGUCUCUUGCUUAGGAGAACGGGAUGAGGAACCAUGCCUGUUUCACUCUGAUUCAGGUUGGAAUGCUAAAUCCUGAUAGCCACUGAAUCUGGCUAGCUACUGUUGAUGGAAGGAUGCAUACUAGAUGUUCCUAUGGUGGUGCAUGAUGAUAAUUAUGAUAUACCACUGAAUGUCUCUGAUCGUGACAUUCCCUCACUGCUAAAUCGCUCUACUUUUCCUCUCAGUAUGGACAAACACAUGCAUACAGUCAGUAAAAAAAGAUUUUUUGUUGCAGGAUUACUUUGAUAUUAUGCUGCAUGUCCUUGAAAUACAGUUAAAAUCGCUCAGAGAUAUACUAGCUUUGUGGAUUUGGGAUGCUAUAGUUUGCAAAAUU